rnacentral:rRNA from 1 species
GACGAACGCUGGCGGCGUGCUUAACACAUGCAAGUCGAACGGAAAGGCCCUGCUUUUGUGGGGUGCUCGAGUGGCGAACGGGUGAGUAACACGUGAGUAACCUGCCCUUGACUUUGGGAUAACUUCAGGAAACUGGGGCUAAUACCGGAUAGGAGCUCCUGCUGCAUGGUGGGGGUUGGAAAGUUUCGGCGGUUGGGGAUGGACUCGCGGCUUAUCAGCUUGUUGGUGGGGUAGUGGCUUACCAAGGCUUUGACGGGUAGCCGGCCUGAGAGGGUGACCGGCCAAAUGGGGACUGAGAUACGGCCCGGACUCCUACGGGAGGCAGCAGUGGGGAAUAUUGCACAAUGGGCGGAAGCCUGAUGCAGCAACGCCGCGUGCGGGAUGACGGCCUUCGGGUGGUAAACCGCUUUCGCCUGUGACGAAGCGUGGGUGACGGUAAUGGGGAAAGAAGCACCGGCUAACUACGU